rnacentral:rRNA from 1 species
AGCCUGCCCACUGAUUUAGUUUAAAGGGCCGCGGUAUAUUGACCGUGCGAAGGUAGCAUAAUCAUUAGUCUUUUAAUUGAAGGCUUGUAUGAAUGGUUGGACAAAAAGUAAGCUGUCUCAAUUAUAAUAAUUGAACUUAACUUUUAAGUGAAAAGGCUUAAAUAAAUUAGGGGGACGAUAAGACCCUAUAAAGCUUGACAAUAAUUUAAUUAUACUAUCAAUUGUUAGUGUAACUUGGUUUUAAUUAAAAUUUGUUGCGUUGGGGCGACGAGAAUAUAAUAGGUAACUGUUCUUAAAUAUUUAAUAACAAAUAUAAUUGAAAAUUAGUUGAUCCUCUAUUAGCGAUUAAAAGAUUAAGUUACUUUAGGGAUAACAGCGUAAUCUUCUUUGAGAGUCCCUAUCGACAAGAAGGUUUGCGACCUCGAUGUUGAAUUAAGGUAUCCUUAUGAUGCAGCAG